rnacentral:rRNA from 1 species
AUUGAACGCUGGCGGCAUGCCUUACACAUGCAAGUCGAACGGCAGCACGGGUGCUUGCACCUGGUGGCGAGUGGCGAACGGGUGAGUAAUACAUCGGAACGUACCUUAUCGUGGGGGAUAACGCAGCGAAAGCUGUGCUAAUACCGAAUACGCCCUGAGGGGGAAAGCGGGGGAUCGAAAGACCUCGCGCGAUCAGAGCGGCCGAUGCCUGAUUAGCUUGUUGGUGGGGUAAAAGCCCACCAAGGCGACGAUCAGUAGCUGGUCUGAGAGGACGAUCAGCCACACUGGGACUGAGACACGGCCCAGACUCCUACGGGAGGCAGCAGUGGGGAAUUUUGGACAAUGGGGGCAACCCUGAUCCAGCAAUGCCGCGUGAGUGAAGAAGGCCUUCGGGUUGUAAAGCUCUUUUGUCAGGGAAGAAACACCGGCUCUAACACAGUCCGGGAAUGACGGUACCUGAGGAAUAAGCACCGGCUAACUACGUGCCAGCAGCCGCGGUAA